AGGUGGGAAGAAAAGAAAACCUGUUAUAAAAGUUAAGAAUGAACAAGGGUCACAGGAAGCACACUGUGAUACUAAAGCACUUAUCAUUCCAGGCUCCAAGCAAGAUUGUUAAGAGGUGACUAACAGGCAGUGUGAUAGCUCUGCUCCAGGCACAGCAGAUCUCCUAUCAUUAUAGAGAAAACUCCCAGUCAUAGUCAAACCCCUCCUUGGCUCUGAUGUGGCCACAAGCUCUCUCUCCUAGUUGUAGCUAUUGAGGACACUGCCUGUGGGCUCAAGGAGGGCAGGGUUUGAUGAGACCUAGAUACUGAGGUCAUAGAAGAACAAUGACAUGACUGACGCUGUAAAACUCAACCCAUAAUCUCAAUGAGAUGUCACUCAAGUCAGGGGCUUUACUUCAGAAAACCUCACCAGAGAAAUUUGUCUAGUGAGCCCAGAAGACAACUAAAGGAGAAACAGAAAACUCUGGGUCAGUCCCUGGAGAGACUGUGACAAUUUUCUAUGGAGUUCUUCCUAGCUUCCAACAGUCCAACCAGACUCUGUUAAGAUGUUCCCGGACCUACCAGCUGAGAUCCCAAAAUAUUUGUAUGAAUUAUGUGAGCUCCUGGCCUCUCCUAUUUCCUGUGAAACUCCUGCCACUGGUUAUAUUUGAAUAUGUGAACAGCUUUCAAUUCAGUUGUGAAGAAGUGAUGGGUGCUCAUUGAGAAGAGGUCAAGAAACAGCGGGACAUGGCAGAGAGGUUCAAGAAGAAUGAAGCUUGAGAAACAGCCCCUGGAGUGAGUACGAGGUGCUGAUGAUGAGCUGUAUGUAGUAAGACCAGAUAGGAAUCAGUUGACAGGAAGUUAGCAGAUCAGAGUGGGCUGGGAAAAAAGAAGAGGGGUUUGACCCUAAAAGCAAAUGAAAACAUGAGGUGUCAGUUGAGAACAAAGUCAAAGGAAGAUGUCCCCAAUAUAGAAGGAAUUCAAAAAUGAAACAUUUUGCUAAUCAUUGAAGUUGACUAAUGUAUAAAUAGGAAUUCAUUAUACAGUCCUUUCUAUUUGACAUAUCUAUUUUAAUGCCCUUAGAAUUAAGUUGGUAAAAUGGAGGCAAAAACUGAGCAUGUGAGGAGAAAGUAAAGAAAUGAAUUACAAGAGAAUAUUGGAUGUAUAAGAGAGAAGAGCAGCUGGUGACACAUCUUGGGUGUGGCACACUGAGAAUAAGAGAAUUUAUGACACAAGAAAGACCCAGAAACAUUAAUGAAGCCAAUGAUAAAAUGUAGGUUAAAGAGGAUGGUGAGAAAACAAACAAAACUAUAAAAUGAAAGAGAAGGUAGAGGGGGUGCUCCAGGCUUCCAUUUCAAUAGAGGGAGGAGAAACUAUGGCUUGGGGAGGAACUUAAAGACUGUGACACAGGGAUGGGAUGACAGUGAUGGAAUGCUACAGUAAAUACACAUCUGCUGAUCGGCGGCAAUCAUCAUGAGAGUCUAGCGAGCUAACACUGUAAGACACCCCAUCACCACCCCAAGAGUACGAAUGCUGGGAGCAGAGAGGCCCUCUAGGAUUGCUAAAUUGGAAGUGGUUGCCCCAAAACAGAAAGGUGUUACAGCAAGCAGCAGCUCUUUGGGGUGCCCACAGAUAGCAAUAUAGGAAUUCAAAGGGGAGGGGAUAGUUAAAAUGGCCACAAAAAGCAAAGUGGAAACUUAAGGAGGUGACCUCUGAAAUGCCCAUGAAGAACAAAGUGGGAACUCAAAGGGUGUAAGUAGACACCUGAGAUGCACACAGAAAGCCAAGGAGCAAAGGGAGAAUUCAGGGGCAGAGGACAUCCAUUUGAUCCCAAACAAAUACAACAAUAAACACCCUGUGGCCCAAAGACUGCCCUUAUGAACCUUGCUAGAAAUGAGUUCUCAGGGCCCACUUUAGGCCUUCCAAGUCAGAGUCUAGAUUUUAACAAGACUACAAAUGAUCUAUUAGUUAGUCAGCCUUCAGUUACUAUGACACAUACUUACAAAUAAUUAACUUAAUAAAAGAAUAGGUUCAUUUUAACACAUAGUUUGGAAGUUUUAGCCACCAUCGAUUACUUCUGUUGUUUUGAGGUGUGUGCCAGGAUAGCACAUUAUGGUUUGGUUUUAUGUGAUGGGACAAAACUGUUCACCUCAUGGCUAAUACAUGACAAAAGAGGAAAAAAUGAGUAGAGGCUCAACUAUCUUCUUUAAGAACAUGCCCUUUGGUGAUUUGAAACCUCUCAUUAAUUCCCACAUUAUAAAAUGGCCAAGCCCUUGCUUCCCAGUGGCACCAAGCUAGAGGUCAUCCCUCUGAUUCAUGGCCAUGUAAGAUCCAGACUGUGGUGAUUCAUAUACACACUCCGUUUAAGAAGUACUGAUUAAUAACUUUGCCAGACACUUUCAUAGAACUACAGAGAGUCACAGAAUUGAUUGACUAAGCUUCUGUUUUAGUAAGAUUAAGAGACACCCCAUAGCAACUCUUAUAAAGGAAAACAUUUCAUUGGGGCUGGCUUAUAAUUCUGAAGUUUAGUCUAUUACCAUCAUGGCAAAAGCCUGCAUGUGGUAUACACAUGCAGACAUGGUGUUGGAGAGGGAGACAAGAGAGAUAAGAGUUCUACAUCUGGAUCAUCAGGCAUGGGGUGUGGGGGGUGGAGAAAGAGAGAUUGAGACCAAGAGCCAGCCAUUAGGCCUGGAUUGAACUUCUGAGACCACCAAGCUCAUUCUCAAUGACACAACUAUUCCAACAAGGUCACAUCUCCUAAUCUUUAUAAAUACUGCCACUCCCUAUAAGCUUAUAGGGACCAUUUUUAUUCAAACCACCACUGUCUCAAUUACAAACUAUAAGAGAUAGAUACUAUGUAUGGUUACUAAGGACCCAGACCUAAAAGUUCCUACCCUAGAGCCUGUCUACAUUUGCCUCUGGACUCAUUCAUUUGUGGACAAUAGACACUCCACAAUGUUUCUGUGGAUCUAGUAAACGAUGUAGCCUCAGCUCAGUCCCCUCAGCCUGCCCUAAUGGCUGUACUACCUUAGGAUUUGGGCCCUGUAGACUAAGGAUUCAUCAUAAACACACAAACAAGAUGUUAAACCUCACCCUUCCCCCCAAAUCACCAGUUCCUUAGUAAUGUUCCCUCAAGAAGAACAACUUAGAUGAAAUUUAAGACACUGAAUUGACAAGAACAAUUCUAAAUACACUCAAUGAAUUCAAAACAUUCAAAGAGGACACAAGAAAAUACACCAAAAUGAACUUAAAAGA
rnacentral:sRNA from 1 species